UGAGUAACCUGCCCCCGACUUCGGGAUAACUCCGGGAAACCGGUGCUAAUACCGGAUAUGAGGCGUCUCCGCAUGGGGGUGUCUGGAAAGAUUUAUCGGUUGGGGAUGGGCUCGCGGCCUAUCAGCUUGUUGGUGGGGUGAAGGCCUACCAAGGCGACGACGGGUAGCCGGCCUGAGAGGGCGACCGGCCACACUGGGACUGAGAUACGGCCCAGACUCCUACGGGAGGCAG
rnacentral:rRNA from 1 species